rnacentral:rRNA from 1 species
UGGGGAAUCUUGCACAAUGGACGAAAGUCUGAUGCAGCGAUUCCGCGUGGAGGAUGACGCAUCAUGGUGUGUAAACUCCUUUUCUGGUGGAAGACGAAUGACGGUACACCAGGAAUAAGAGACGGCUAACUACGUGCCAGCAGCCGCGGUAAUACGUAGGUCUCAAGCGUUAUCCGGAUUUACUGGGCGUAAAGUGUCCGUAGACUGAUAUAUAAGUCCGUUUUCAAAUACUCUGACUCAAUCAGAGAAAGGGGAUGGAUACUGUACAUCUAGAAGUUAUUAGGGGUUAGUGGAAUUUCCGGUGGAGCGGUGAAAUGCGUUGAUAUCGGAAAGAACGCCGAAAGCGAAAGCAGCUAACUAUAAUAAACUUGACGUUGAGGGACGACAGUGUGGGGAGCAAACAGG